rnacentral:lncRNA from 1 species
UGUGAUUGAUAUUCUCCUGCAGCUCAUAAGGUUAUAGGACAUUAUUCGAAUGAAGUAUAGGAAAUACAGUAACCAAAAUAGAAUGGAUACACAUUUUCUAAAUGUGGUACAUAUGCGGCAUUUAAAAUGUCCCAUGCGCAGUAUCCAAUUGAAGUGAUUGCCAUCUUCUUGGUACAGAACACUUGCAGAGUUCUUGAUACAUAUCACUGCAAAUGAAUAUUAAUACAAUUAUUAUAACCAUAUUUUGUUAACGAAUUUGAAGUUUGUUUGUAAAUUGCCUACAAUUUACUAAAUAGAACUUUUCUAUAGACAAAAUUACCAACCGNNNNNNNNNNNNNNNNNNNNNNNNNNNNNNNNNNNNNNNNNNNNNNNNNNNNNNNNNNNNNNNNNNNNNNNNNNNNNNNNNNNNNNNNNNNNNNNNNNNNNNNNNNNNNNNNNNNNNNNNNNNNNNNNNNNNNNNNNNNNNNNNNNNNNNNNNNNUACUAAUGGAAUUUUUCUUGUUACUAUAUUUACCAACCAAUUACAAACACAAUUUAAAUAAUCAAAAACCAAUUUUACUAACUCAAUUUCUAUAUGUUAAGUAAAUUUACUAACGAAUUUCCAACUGAAUUUUUGUUAGUAAAUUUACCAAAGAAAAUCUUGGACUCAAGAUUCAAAAAUUACCAACAAAUUUAUUUGGUGUUUACUAACUAAUUCUUAGUUGGUAAGUUUACCAACCAAUUCAAUAUGGUUGGUAAAAUUUACCAUCGAACCUUUUAGCAACAUGCCAAUUUUCGUUGGUAAUCGGUUAGUAAGUCAAAAUACCAACCAAUUUGAUCAAUUUAGCAACAGGCCAAUUUCCGUUGGUAAUCGGUUAGUAAGUCAAAAUACCAAUCAAUUUGAUCAAUUUACCAACAUUUUUUUUGUUGGUAAUUGAGUUUUUUUUGUAGUGUAUGGUGAAUUGGUUUAUGUUGUUAUCGUCCUUUAUUAUCCCAAGGUUUAUUACCUUUUUCAUUACUUUGCAUGUUGACCCCUUUUUUCUCUUAUAAUUCUUUUUUCUUGUAAGAAAAUUCAAGUAGAUCUCAGACAAUUUAUAUCUAUAUAUAAAUAUAAUUUUGAAAAUGAAAAACAUGAUAUAGCAUACCUCCUCCACAUGUGAAUUAUACACACUUUAUUUUUUGACCGAUUAUCGGUGAAAUAUUCAAUAAUGUAUAUUUUGAACAUAUGUUAUGUCUAAUAGAAAAUAAUUUUAGUUAAACUGUCAAAAUAAAAUCGUUGCCAACUUUAAGGAGCUAUAUAUAUUUGCCAAAUAUUAAUUGUAAUUUUAACACACAUAAUAAUUUUUCAGUGGUAUAAGAAGGCCUUUGCCGGUUAAAAUUAAUUGUAAUUUGAAAUAUUAAAAUAAAAACUUAAAUCUGGAAAAAGAGUUAGUGCCUUGCUAUGUUACUAUAUACAAGAAAAUUAUAACUUCAUAUUAAAAAGAGUUGGGAAUAUUAUUUAAUACAUUCAUAUGUGCUCAUAUUAAUGAUUAAAAAUUUUAGAAAAUGAAACUUGAAAACUUGGAAGAGAUAUUUGUUGUAUUCUAAGUGUCAUCUUCAUGAAACUAUUUAAAAAUUAAUUGAAAGGGUCAAAUAAGGAACUAAAAAAAAUGGAAUUCUUUUAAAAUUAAUUCUCACUUACUGAAAAGAUGGUAGUUUUAUUGUGAUAUAAUUUUAUAUAAAUAAAAAGAUUAAAUAGUCACUACCAGAAAAUAAUAUAAUAUUUAAUCAUUAGUUACUAGUAUUAUAUUUUUAUCCAACAUAUGAUACACUUUAAGGAUUUAAAAGUUGACCUACAUUAGUUUGUGUUGGAUUGGACUUUUCAUCGGGAGUUGAGCACUCAGAUUCAGAUGAGCACGACUUUUCACCCUUAGACGGACGGUCAGUCCGAGCGUACUAUUCAAAUAUUAGAGGACAUGGUGCGUGCUUGUGUUAUUGAUUUUGGAGGUUCUUGGGCUGAGUUCUUGCUGCUUGCGGAGUUUGCUUACAACAAUAGUUAUCAGUCCAGCAUUCAAAUGGUACUGUAUGAGGCUUUAUAUAGGAGACGGUGUAGAUCCCCAGUUGCUGGUUUGAGCCUGGCGAGGCUAGAUUAUUGGGGUCACAGUUAGUUCAGAAUACCUUAGAGAAAGUGAAAGUUAUUCAAGAGAGACUUCGUACGGCUCAGUCGCGUAAUAAGAGUUAUGCAGACCGGAAUGUUUGGGAUGUAUCUUAUAUGGUGGGCGAGAAGGUUUUGUUGAAUGUUUUGCCUAUGAAAGUCGUGAGGUUUGGAAAGAAAGGAAAGCUGAGUCCGCGGUACAUUGGACCUUUUGAGAUACUCAGGAGGACUAGGGAGGUGAUCUAUAUGCUUGCUUUGCCACCUAGUUGUCGAUGAUUCACCCGGUAUUCCAUGUUUUUAUGCGCAGGAAGUAUGUUGGGGACCCGUCUCAUGUAUUAGACUUCAGCACGAUCCAAUUGGAUGAGGGCUUUACCUAUGAUGUGGAGCUAGUGGCUAUUUUCGGUCGCCAGGUUCGAAAGUUGAGAUCAAAAGACAUAGCUUCGGUGAAGGUGCAGUGGAGAGGUCAGCCCGUGGAGGAGGCCACUUAGGAGACCGAGCAGGAGAUGCGGAGCAGAUACCUGCACCUAUUUGAGACUUCAAGUAUGUUUCUUGACCCGCUCGAUGACGAGCGUUUGUUUUAGUUGGGGAGGAUAAGCUUCGGUGAAGGUGCAGUGGAGAGGUCAGCCCGUGGAGGAGGCCACUUAGGAGACCGAGCAGGAGAUGCGGAGCAGAUAUCCUCGUUUUUUUAGGCUCUAGGUAUGUUUCUUGACCCGCUCGAGGACGAGCGUUUGUUUUAGUUGGGGAGGAUGUGACGACCCGGUCCGUCGUCAUGUGAGUUACCGCCCCGCUUUCCCCGUCUUAUGCUUCUAUAUGUUCAUUUUUAUGUGUUUGUAAAGUUUGAAGUGAUUCGAUCAGAGUUUGGUUGAGAUUGAGACAAUUAGUCUCUUUAAGAGAAGGCUAGUUUGUGAAAAGUCAACCGGAUGUUGACUUAUGAGUUAUAGGGCUCGGAAUGAAUUUCCGGUGAUUCUACUAGUUUUGGGUGGUGAUUUAUGACUUGGGAGUGAAAACGGAACUGAAUUUGGAGGUCCGAUAUAGAAUUAGGCUUGAAUUGGCUAAGUAUGAAUUUCGGUAAAUUACGGUUGAUAGGUGAGAUAUUGAUCCGGGGCUCGGAAUGGAAUUUCGAGAGUUUUUGUAGCUUCAUUAGGUAAUGUUGGAUAUGUCUGCAAAUUUCCAGGUCAAUCAGACGUCAUUUGGUCGGGUUUUUGAUCGAAUGUUAGUUUCGAAAGUUAUAGUUGGAACUUAGGCUUGGAUACUCCAUGAUUUGAUGAUUUUUGUGUUUAGGGUCGUGUUUUUAUGAUUGGAACGAGUUUGUGUGAUGCUUUGGAGUAUGUUGGUAUUUUUGGUUGGGGGUCUUGGGGGCCUCGGGGUGAUUUCGGGGGUUUAAGCAGAUCAUUUUUGAGAGGCUUGGAGAUUUGUUCAAUGUGAUCGCGGUCAGAGGUAUGUGAUCGCAUAGGUUGGGGAAGUUAUUCUCUGCGAUCGCAAUAGGUCUUAUGUGAUCGCGUAGUGUAAUGAGCAUGGGUUUCCUGAGGUGUAUUUGUGCAGUGUGAUCGCGAGGUAAGGUAUGCGAUCGUGUGGUGUUGGACUUAGAAGUAGUGCGAUCACGUAGUGGGUGUUGCGAUCGCAUAGGCCAUUUUGGAGAUUUGGAAUAAUUGUUAAAUGCGAUAGCAGGUGAAGUGAGGUGAUGUGAUCGCAUAGAAGAAUUGCCUGGGUAGACGGAAGGGUUCUAUAACAUAUCAUCCGCGAGCUAAUAUCAUAUUUCACCAUUGUUGAGCACAUUUUCUCGUCGUUAUUAAUGAUUUGUGAAUAAAGAAUGUGAGCUUAUAGCUCCAAACGUGAGAGUGUUUGGUCGGGCUUGCCUAGCAAUGUGCUGGGCGCCAUCACGACCGGGUUGGGGUCGUGACAUGGACAUGCCGUUAGGAGUUGUUUGGUGUUACUCUAACAGGUGGAUAGGCUCAAUUAAAAGGGAGACUCUGCCGAAAUAUUUGAAAAAUCUAGGAGUUAGUCAAAUUUUGGGGACUUAAGAAAGUUAAAAUGUUGGAAGAAUAUCUUACUCUAUAUGAAGUCGUUCGGUUCACUUGGUUGUGGAUUGUGGGGUGUUGUCCCGGCUAUGGUGGUAGUUCUUGCGUGUUGUGAGAAGAAAUGACUUAUUACGGGUCCAGGAAAGGCUAUCAGCCUAGUUCAAUGCGAGCAGAAUUGACCUGAAGUGGGUGAAUGGAUUUAAAUAGGAUUAUGGGCUUCAUGUGAGUUAGAUAUGUUCAUUUCAGUAUAGCGCUACUCAAGGAGGGGUAUUGGAAUAUCAUAUGUUGUUCCGUGUUCGUCAAUUCAUAUAAUAUUAUGAUUGUUCCAUGUGUGUUGUGAAACGGUUUGAUAAAUUCCUAUUCUCUGGGAAAAGGCCAUAUUAGUUGUGUGAGCUGAGCAAUCCAUUCCUGAAUCAUUUUCUUAUGUAUCCUGUUUGCAUUAUGGCCUAUUGGCGCAUUUUUGCAUCUUGUGAGACCGUUGGUCAUUGUUUGUGGUGAUUGGUUGUCCGAGCAGCUCGUAGUAGGAAAGAAGCUUUUCAUUGCGGCAACCUUAAGUUGAAGAAAAUGGCUAAGAUUGGAAUUUUGAGCAAACGACCUCGGAAUUGGGAUCUGAAAGUUCCAGCAUGUUAGUAUGAUGAUUUCGGACUUGGGAGUAUGUCAAGAUUUGGUUUUUAACAACCCGUGAGCAUUUCGGCGUAUACUGUGGAAGUUAGUAUUUCAGAAGAAUCGAAAUUGGGAUCUGAAAGUUCCAUCAUGUUAGUAUGAUGAUUUCGGAGUUGGGAGUAUGUCAAGAUUUGGUUUUUAAUAACCCGUGAGCAUUCCUGCGUAUAUUGUGGAAGUUAGUAUUUCAGAAUAAUUUCAUAAAAUUGGGCUAGAAGGAAUUUCAGAGUUAUAGAUGUUCUUUUGGGAUUCCGAGUCUUGGAAUAGCUCCUAUGGUGAUUCUGGAGUUGGGAGCGCGAUCGGAAGUGAAUUUGGAUGUCCGUAGGUCAUUUUGAAGUCAUUUUAUAAAUAUAGGAAUUUGAAGUCUUUUGAGAAAAUUCGUCUGAAAGUGAAAAUUUUAAUAUCAGGGUCGUGAUGCGAUUCUGAAAGUUGGUGCAAGUCUGUAAUGUCGAAUGUUAUUUGUGUGCAAAAUUUGAAGUCAUUCGGACUAGUUUUGGUAAGGUUUGAGACACUUAGUCUCUUUUAAGGAAGCUUAAGUUGGAAAAGUUAACCGGAUAUGACUUAUGUGUUAUAGGGCUUGAAAUACAAAUUUUAUGGUCCGUAUAGCUUCAAAAGCUUAAGUUUGAAACGUUAACCGGAUAUUCACUUAUGCGUUAUAGGACUCGAAAUGCAAAUUUUAUGGUUUGGAUAGCUUCAUUAGGUGAUUUGGAACUUAGGAGUGGGUCCGAAAUAUUUUUGUGAUGACCGGGGUAGAAUUAAGCUUGAAUUGGCAAAGUUAGUGUUUUGGCGAAUUCCGUUAAUAGGUGAGAUUUCGAUCCGGGAGUUGGAAUGGAAUUCAGAGAGUUGUUGUAGCUUUUUUAUGCCAUUUGUGAUGUGUGUGCAAAAUUUCAGGUUAUUCAGACAUCGUUUGGUCGGGUUUUUCAUCGAAAGUGUAUUUUCGGAAGUUUUUGAAAACUUAGGCUUGAAUUCGAUGAGUUUUGGAUAAUUUUAUAUAGUUUGAGGUAUUUUGAUUAUUGGAGCAGGUUUUAAUGAUGCUAUGAAUUAGGGCAUGAUUGGUUGAGGUCCCACUAGCCUCGGGUGUGUUUCGGAUGCCCAACGGGUCAUUUUUGGAAAAUUUUUGACGUUUUGAGCAUAAAUGUAAUGAUCUAAAGGUUCAUUUUUAGUAUUAGAGAUCCAAAUUUGAUUUCACGUUUUGAGCAUAAAUGUAAUGAUAUAAAGGUUCAUUUUUAGUAUUAGAGAUCCAAAUUUGAUUUCCAGACUUCCGGAAUUUAAAUCAUGAAUUACAAGAAUGAUCUGAAAAUUUUGGUUUAAUUUCAUUAAGUCGCGAUUAGGUUUUUGACGCAAAAUGUGAGUUAAUUGUUUAACGAGCGAAAUGGGUAUUGAACUGCGCAAAUGAGCUAUGAAUUGAGUUUCUAUUAAAGGGUUGUGUUUGUAUUAUUAUUUGUGACUCAUAGGAAUAAGAAUCGUCUGAUUCCGAGUUUGUAUGAUGGAGGUAGAGCCAUUAAAGUGAAAAAUGGUUGUCCUGCAAAUUUCUUAAAAUCUGCUGUAUUUUUUGCAGCAGUGACCAGUAACCGCGCGGGUGAACAUUGACCAAUGAACAGUGACGGGUGAACACUGACCAGUGAACAGUGCCCGUGAAUAGUGCGUGAAUAGUGUAUGUGAACAUUGACAGAAUGUUAAGUUCUGAACCCAUUUUCCAUUUUUGAUGAUUUGGAGCUUGGAUAAGGCGAUUUUUCGAGGGGUUUUUGGAGAGAACAACGGGAUAACUGUUCUUAACUCAAUUUUGAUUAUAUUACUCGAAUAAAUUGCAAGUUUUAUCAUUAAUCCGUGAAUUUAAGGGAGAAAAACUUAGAAACCCUCUCAGAUAUAAUUGAGGAUUCGAAGGUCGAAACGAUAUGGGAAAUUGUAAAAUUUGGUAUGUAUAGACUCGUGGCGAGAUAAGAAAUAUUUUGAUGUAAAAAUUUCUGGAUUUUGAGAAGUGGGUCCGGGGCUCGGAUUUUGCCAAAUUUCGGGAUUUUGAUGCUUUUCAGUUGUUUUCGAUUGGGUAUUGUUCCUACAACAUAAUGUGACAUAUUCAUUUUGAUUUUGGAUAGAUUCGAUGCACUAAGAGGGCAAUUUGAGAGGCAAGGGCAUAGCGAGCUAGAGCCUUGGCCGGUUCGAAGAGAAUAAUAAUUUUAAAUGAUACACUAAGGGUCUGAAACCCCCGAUUGCACAACAUACUGAUAUGUUGAGAUGAGACACACGUUGUAUGAUGAUAGCGAGGUCAUUUACUAGUGGGGAUUGUGACUUGGUCCAUCCUAGUUGAUGUUUUACCGUGUAUUUAAUAAAUAAUUAUUAUUUUUUACCAUGAUUUGGGCUUAUUGCCAUAUUUGGGUUUCGUGCCAAUUAUUUGAAAUAUUUGUGAAUCACAUCACUAUUUUCCUCACCAAUUGAAAUAUNNNNNNNNNNNNNNNNNNNNNNNNNNNNNNNNNNNNNNNNNNNNNNNNNNNNNNNNNNNNNNNNNNNNNNNNNNNNNNNNNNNNNNNNNNNNNNNNNNNNNNNNNNNNNNNNNNNNNNNNNNNNNNNNNNNNNNNNNNNNNUUACAUUUAUACUCAAUUCGAGAUUUAAUGAUAUUUAUAAUGUUGUUGAGCUGAGCACUAUCGUUUUACUGAAUCCCAAGAGGCUUAUGAUUAUUUUUUUGACUGAUUGAGGCCGAGGGCCAUACGUGAGGAUAUGUUGAGUGAUGUGAGGAGGUUUUCAGGCCUUGAGUGUUAUGUGAGGUGGCUUUCAGGCCUCAAGUGUUAUGUGAGGAGGCUUUCAGGCCUCGAGUGUUAUGUGAGGAGGCUUUCAGGCCUCGUGUGUGAUAUGUGGAGGCUUUCAGACCUAUUGAUAUUCCGCUUGGGCUGUAGGAGCCCCUCCGAAGUCUGUACACACCCCCAGUGAGCGCAGGGUACCCAGGUGAGUUGGGAGUGGGCCUGAGAGGUGGUGAGUUGGGAGUGAACCCGAGGGGCUCAUGUUGUGUGUUGGUGAGUUGGGAGUGAGCAUGUGGGGUCGAUACUGUACUGUUUGAUAUUGAGCCCGAGGGUCAAGCUUUUGAUCAUUCCUUACUGAUGAAAUAAAUGAUCUUUAUUGUUUUAAAAAGAGAAUUAUUUGAUACCCACUUUUACUGCUUGAGAUAGCGUUAUAUUAUGCCUUUAUGGGAUUUCAUGCUUCCAGUCAUUAUUUAUUUUUAUUACCACUGAGUUGGAAGUGCUCACUUUACCACUGUUAUAAUAUAUAACUGAUUUUACUGCUUGAGAUAGCGUUAUAUUGUGCCUUUAUGAGAUUUCAUGCUUCCUGUCGUUAUUUAUUUUUAUUACCACUAAAUUGGAAGUACUCACUUUACUCCCUUCACCAUGCGUGAAGAUGUAGGUAUUGAUCACCCGGUAGUGGGAUGUUAACUUAUUGAAGGUAUUUCUAUUGUAGCUGAGCAAGGUGAACGUCACCGUUUGCGGUACCGUAUCUCUUCCUUUGAUUCUAAUUUUUCCAUUAUAUAUAUUACCGGUCUUAUAAUAGUGAUUAGAUUCUUCAGAUGCUCUUGACUUGUGACACCCUGAUUUCGGGCUGAGUUGGGCUGGUUCCCUGUUUCAUCAUUUUUCUUCCGCACUUUGUGACACCCCGAUUUCAGGCUGAGUUGGGCUGGUUCCCUGUUUCGUCAUUUUUCUUCCGCACUUAUGAUUGUAUUCUCUGAAUUGGACUUAUUCCUUCAAAGUUAAUACAUUGUCGGCUGGCCUUGUCCUCACGAGAGACGCCAUCACGACUAAAUUUGGGAUUUUGGAUCGUGACAAGAUCAUAACAUAAUAGCUUCAAAAGAUCUAUUUUAUUAAUCAAAUUAUAGCAUUUAUAGAAAUUCCAAAUCAUUUGAGCAAAACUUUAAUAAACAACCUUUUUCAUUUUCAUGAAGAAGCAGAAGAAGAAAAACUAGAAAUUAAGUACCCUAAUUGAACUUCUGCUCCACUGAAGCAAACAAAGAAAAUCUACAAACCAAGAUCCUAUAAAAGUUCGUAAACUCAAACAGUCAAAUGUAAACACAAAGAGUUUAGAGACAAAGCUGUCAAACCCAAAAACAAAUUUUCAAGAAAACCCCAUUAACUUCUCUUCACUUUAGGUAUAAAAACAAAGAAAUAAGUGGUCAUAAAAUUACCUAAAGGAAUCUAGAACAACACAGGACACUAGUCUAGUGUAGUAACUUCAGUACCCCAAAAUGAGCUGUACAUUUAUUACUACAUAAGUAAUUAGGCAUGCCAAGAGAGGUUGGAAAGAGUAGUAACUAAUGAGUUCGUGAACAAUGAUCCUAUGCUUUUUUCUUGAUUCCUAUAACAAAGUAUCGCUAAAGAAGUUGAAAUUUUCUAACUAAUAAGAGGAUUCUUUCAGCUAUUUAAUUAUACAUGGUAGCAAAUAUGACAAAAAGUAAAUUUCAAGAACAACAAAACAAAUUAUCUAUUGGUACUGCUUUUGGUUAUUUGAAAUUUUCAAAAAUAUUAUCACGCUCGUACAUAUCUUUUAAAAAUGUACUACUAUUGAAGGACCCAGCAGAAUUUUGAAGAUCUUGAACAUCAUAGGUUAAGACGCACUUGAUAGCUUCUUUACCUUUAAUUUCUCACAGUUGUUCUUAGGCAAAAAAAAAUAUUUGCACCUGAUAUUCUAUGUUCCUACGCAGUGUAACACAAAAUCAAUUUUUGUCCAAAGACACUGAAUUGUUGUUGUUCGCUUAGGCAAAAAAAAAUAUUCGCACCUGAUAUUCUAUGUUCCUACGCAGUGUAACACAAAAUCAAUUUUUGUCCAAAGACACUGAAUCGUUUUCUUGAUUUCAAUUCUUUUUUGCCAAAAUAAAAUUUGAAUUGCAAAUAAUUUCAUAAAUAAAAAAAUCCUAAAUUAAGACUUGCUGAGUAUCAGCAUUCCAUUAAGCACCUACAGGACUCGCAGCCUUCAAUUAGAAUACCUCAGCCAUGAAAUUGCUUUAAAAACACAAUUUUAUCACUCCAUUUAACACAUACUUGCCAUAAGAUUGCAAAGUUUAAAAUCAGAUAGCCCAAAAAAGAAUAGGGCAGAAAUUAAAAGAACGGAAAAAUGAUCUGGAGAAAAUCAGAAAAGAACCUACAACAAUCACUGAACUUCAGAAUCAAAACUAACAAUGAUAAAGAGAACCUAGAAGAAACCAAAAUGAAAAAAAAGGAAGGAAAAGUAGAAAAAAGAUACUGCAAAAUUGAUUGAAUAAAUAUCUACAGAUGCUUUACAAAUCUUACCAGAGAGACUUCAGAACAUCUUCGAUACGAAAGAGGCGUGGAGAUAAGAAAAGAAAGGUCUAGGAUCUGAUAUAAGAAAAAUGACACAUAGUGUCUGAGCAACACAUAGAGGGCACAUAUGUAAGUCAUGUGAAAUGACCUAAAUGCCCUCAAGGUUUGAUGAAUUGAUCGUAAGCACAUGUGUCGAA